GUUCUGGGAGUGGUAUCUGACCAGGGGCCACGCUCUUACUUCAUUGGCUGCAUACUGGGCCGUAAUUGUGCCAUCUAGUGCUACCGAGUGAACGGCAACCGUCGAUGACCCUCAGGGGCUAAUCGUACGAACUUAAGGACACAACUUCAGAGCGUGUGCCAGCCAGUCAGGAAUACCAGGGUUAUAUGGGGUAACGAUCUUUAUAGAUAGACGUCCUUUAUAGCAACAGGACGCCUAACAGAUCGGGAGAUUACCGGACAGUAACGAAUUGAGGAGGAAGGGAGAGAGCGACCGCAGAAAGACGUCAAUGCGUUACGAUGAUGACGUUAUACUCGUUAUAGACACAUUAUCUGUCGUAAAAAAAAAUAAAGGGAGAGAAAUAAAGAAAAAGAAUAGACCGAAUAAUCAUCAAGUGGGAGUGUAACAUGUAAUGUGCGGCUCGCUCGACUUGAUGGAGACCGGCGAUGUAAGAAAGAAAGAAAGGAAGAAAGAAUGAUGGAAGAAAAAAAACGCUUUCUUCUGCGCGCUGGAUUAUUUGUGGCCUGGAAAAUAAAAACGAACACACACUAACACAACUUGAUGCGUCUGUGUGCAGCGACACAUUUUUUUUUUUUUCGUUUCAUUUUUCUCGACCGUUUGGAAUUGAAAGCAGAAGAAGAAGAAGAAGAAAAAAGCGCUCCAGUACAUCCGCGUUCACCGGUAACAGCAGCAAUUUUUUUUUUGUUUUGUUUUUAUUAUCAUUUUCUGUUUUGUGUCUGGCGUAUGUUGUAAAUGUUUUUUUGUUUUUGUUUUUACAUUUAUUUUUCCCCUAUCAUCUUAUAGUUGUUGGCCGGCCAUUACGUUUGUUGGCUUUUUUUAUUAUUAUUAUUUGCCGGAUAGCAAAUCUGUUUGUUACCUGCGUACCCAAACACCGCAGUCGGAGGUAUGUUUUCCCUGUUUGAGAAGAUCACAUAAAUCAGAUUAACCCGACAAACGUAUCGAGUAUCUCUCUUAGCCUAUAUAUGCUGGGAGCGGACUUUGGAGAGUGUGUGCUGGAGUUGCAGGGUCUUCUUCUUCUUCUCUUGCUUCCCGGUUGCGUUUUGGCCGAAUCCUUUGGCCGGAGACGAAACAAAGUCCGAGAAA